CGUCCCCUGCAAUGUUUGUUUAGGCGCAUAUUCUUUGAACCAAUUUUUUGAGACUGGUUGUGAACUAAUGUGAUGCUGUUGUGCGCGUCCUACAUGGAAGUGCCUGAUGCAUCCGGAAAACGACCACUUUGAACCUUAAGGUUCAAGAUAAUAGCCUGACGGCAUUUGCGGGGGCCUU
rnacentral:other from 1 species